rnacentral:tRNA from 1 species
GGGGUUGUGACUCAGUGGUAGAGCACUCACCUAGCAUGUGUGAGGCACUGGGUUUGAUCCUCAGCCCCA